GGUUAAAAAGCUCGUAGUUGGAUCUCGGCGGGCAGGGGGUGGUUCGCUCUUCAGCGCUACUGCCCCGCUUUGCCCGUGUGAUUGGCGGAGGUUUCGGGGUGCUCUUCGUUGAGUGACUCGGAGCGCCGUCAGGUUUACUUUGAAAAAAUUAGAGUGCUCAAAGCAGGCUUUUCACGCUUGAAUAUUCGUGCAUGGAAUAAUGGAAUAGGAACUCGUUUCUAUUUUGUUGGUUUUCGGAAAUCGAGUUAAUGAUUAACAGGGACAAUUGGGGGCAUUAGUAUUCAAACGACAGAGGUGAAAUUCUUGGACCGUCUGAAGACUGACUACUGCGAAAGCAUUUGCCAAGAGUGUUUUCAUUAAUCAAGAACGAAAGUUAGAGGUUCGAAGGCGAUCAGAUACCGCCCUAGUUCUAAACCAUAAACGAUGCCCAGCUAGCGAUCUGCCGAGUUUUUUUUGUAGGCUCCG
rnacentral:rRNA from 1 species